rnacentral:rRNA from 1 species
UACGUAGGGUGCGAGCGUUGUCCGGAAUUAUUGGGCGUAAAGAGCUCGUAGGCGGUCUGUCGCGUCGAUCGUGAAAACUUGGGGCUUAACCCUGAGCUUGCGGUCGAUACGGGCAUGACUGGAGUUCGGCGGGGGAGACUGGAAUUCCUGGUGUAGCGGUGAAAUGCGCAGAUAUCAGGAGGAACACCGGUGGCGAAGGCGGGUCUCUGGGCCGAUACUGACGCUGAGGAGCGAAAGCGUGGGGAGCGAACAGG